UAUCAAAAGUUUCAUCUAUUUCUACAGUAAAAAAUUGGUGUAGAUGAGAAAAUAAUAAGACAGUUGUAUAUGGCAUGCUAUGUGUACUUCAUGUUAAUAUAAAAUGACCAAAUUUUAAUAAUAGAAGUAGAUGGAUUUUUUAAUA
rnacentral:pre_miRNA from 1 species